rnacentral:rRNA from 13 species
UUUGACCUCGGAUCAGGUAGGAAUACCCGCUGAACUUAAGCAUAUCAAUA